rnacentral:snRNA from 1 species
UCCAAGAAGAAAUUAAGUACU